rnacentral:snRNA from 1 species
GGAUGUGAGGGCGAUCUGGCUGCGACAUCUGUCACCCCAUUGAUCGCCAGGGUUGAUUCGGCUGAUCUGGCUGGCUAGGCGGGUGUCCCCUUCCUCCCUCACCGCUCCAUAUGCGUCCCUCCCGAAGCUGCUCACUCUGUUGAAGAGGACGACCUUCCCCGAAUAGAGGAGGACAGGUCUUUGGUCAAGGGUAUACGAGUAGCUGCGCUCCCCUGCUAGAACCUCCAAACAAGCUCUCAAGAAUGACAAAAAGACAGCAUCAACAAAUGGACCUAUGUCAGACCCUUACUGGCUCUCUGU